GGCUCUGAAGAGUCCUCUCAGAGAAGAGCAGAUUUCUAAUGUUUAGUUUCUGUGUUGGGUAGCCCUAUGUCCAGAUUACAUAGAGAUGCAUUGAAAGCCUUCAGCUGUUGGGCUGGGAGCAGAACCCAGAAGCAGAGCAACUUGCCUACCUGGCAGGAUUUCCAGUACUGCAAAACUUGAAAACUCUUAAGCUUCUCUCAGUAAGUGAGAGGAAAAGACUAAGACCACCCCUACAAAUCUGAACUCUGAGCGGGGAGCAGUUGGGAAGCUGGUCACAGCAGCUUCUGGAAGUGCAAAAGCUUUCUCUGCCUUCACUGCAGGGAAAGAGAAGGUCCCUCAUCUGUCCCCUGAAGAGCACUUCAUAUCACCAAGCGGACCCCUGGCACCUGCCAUUGCAGCUUCCAUUGCUCAGCCACGUGUCCCCUCCACGACUACCCAGCUCCAAGGUCACAUGGCCUGCAAAAAGGAUCUACCAUUGGAGCCAAAGCUCACCCCACUGGAGCACUAAUGUUGAGCAAAUUGGCUUUUGAAUCAUAGGUUUUCUUCACCAAGAAGGACAAGCUAUCAAUAGACACCUGGGACACGAUUCAGUCUGUUGUAACUGCCACCCUGACGCCAGAAGGGGCUUGCAGGGAACCUCCCUCCCUCCCUCGCUCCAUUUCUACAGACAUUAUUUACUGUAACUCUUCUACAGUGCUUACACAACAAGUAAAGGUAGCGCUGG
rnacentral:lncRNA from 1 species